rnacentral:rRNA from 1 species
AGAGUUUGAUCCUGGCUCAGAUUGAACGCUGGCGGCAUGCCUUACACAUGCAAGUCGAACGGCAGCGCGGGAGCAAUCCUGGCGGCGAGUGGCGAACGGGUGAGUAAUAUAUCGGAACGUGCCCUGUAGCGGGGGAUAACCUAUCGAAAGAUGGACUAAUACCGCAUACGCUCUACGGAGGAAAGCGGGGGUCGCAAGAC